rnacentral:rRNA from 1 species
UCUGGUGACCAUGGCACAGUGGUCCCACCCGUUCCCAUUCCGAACACGGAAGUGAAACGCUGUUGCGCCGAUGAUAGUAUGGCGACAGGCCAUGUGAAAGUAGGACGUUGCCAGAU